rnacentral:lncRNA from 1 species
ACCUGCAGCGCAGCGAACGGUACGGAAUGGUCAUCUCCGUCGAAUGCACGGGGAACGGGGCCGGUGACGCCCUCCACAAGUGCAAGACGGCAGCUGCCGCGUUGGCGGCCACGAGGACCACGGGCGCCAUCAAAGAAGACUGUGAAGCGGUUUCUUCAGAGGGGGGGAAAAUGUGGGAAUCGCCGCCGAUAAACCCCCUCUCCCCCAAUGACUACGACAAGAGUUGUGAUCCGACGGCAGUGCGCAUGCUCCACGCGUCAGGAGGAACGUAUAAAGAGCGACCCAGGGGAGUGAAACU